UACGAAGGGGGCUAGCGUUGCUCGGAAUCACUGGGCGUAAAGGGUGCGUAGGCGGGUCUUUAAGUCAGGGGUGAAAUCCUGGAGCUCAACUCCAGAACUGCCUUUGAUACUGAGGAUCUUGAGUUCGGGAGAGGUGAGUGGAACUGCGAGUGUAGAGGUGAAAUUCGUAGAUAUUCGCAAGAACACCAGUGGUGAAGGCGGCUCACUGGCCCGGUGCUGACGCUGAGGCGCGAAGGCGUGGGGAGCGAUCCGG
rnacentral:rRNA from 1 species